ACCUGUGAAACAACUUCCUCUUCUUCCACACCAAGUCCACCAUGGAUGAUCGCCGAGAUCCAAUCCUCCCUCUCACAUUCGCCCUUAUCUCCUUUCCUAUCUCAAAUCUUGAGGCCCAUCAAGAAAAAGAUUCUUCGCUCAAAGAAUCUACAGUCGCAACCUUUAAUCUGCUAUCUCCUCAGUUUCAUCCUGCUGUGUCUUGGUUGGUAGCCUAGAGAGGAUUUGUUUCUUCAGCAAAAAUGGUAACUAAAAUGGUGGAUCUGCGAUCUGACCCGGUCACUAAACCUAGUGGAUGAAACAAUUCAGGCCGCAAUGGCAGCUGCCGAAGUUCAUGAUGAUGUCAAAAGCCUAGAAGGCUCAGGAAAACCUUAGGAGGUGGAAUGAGACAGGUUGGUAUCCUUUGUGCUGCGGCUUUGGUCGCUUUACAUGAGAAUGUUGCAAACCUCGACACCGAUCACAAGAGAGCUAAGAUUUUAGCAGUUCCUUUUGAUAAAUUCAGAAGGACUAAAUCAAAUCAAAGAAAUCGUUGAGACCAACAUUGUGAGUAUUAUCUGCUCAAAUUUAGUCUAGCCGGCGCUGAAUUUAUUUCUACCAUUUACUUUUAUUGUUCUUUUAGGUGAACUUAAUAUAUCAUCACAUUCACAUGUUUGCAUAUCUGCAAUUGCUCUCUCUCUUGUCGCCCAAAUUUAUGCUUCUUUUCUAUGUAAAUGUUGCAGCGAGCUCUGACUGGAGGCCAUGAUGAAAAUGGAAACUAUACAUGGGACAACACAAGCUCCACCCUUCUCUGUGUCUCCAACAUGAUUUCAUCUACCUUUGAACAUGCAAUCAUUGAAUCUUUGCCAAACUUGUAAAACUUCUGUGCUAGUUUCAUUUGUAAGAUUUUAUGGUGGCAGAAUUUAAUGUGUUUUUUUUUUU